rnacentral:rRNA from 1 species
UACGGAGGAUGCAAGCGUUAUCCGGAAUGAUUGGGCGUAAAGCGUCCGCAGGUGGCUGUGUAAGUCUGCUGUCAAAGAGCAAAGCUCAACUUUGUAAAGGCAGUGGAAACUACACGGCUAGAGUGCGUUCGGGGCAGAGGGAAUUCCUGGUGUAGCGGUGAAAUGCGUAGAGAUCAGGAAGAACACCGGUGGCGAAGGCGCUCUGCUAGGCCGCAACUGACACUCAGGGACGAAAGCUAGGGGAGCGAAUGGG